CAACCUACCUUUGAGUUCGGGAUAGCCCUGAGAAAUCAGGAUUAAUACCGGAUGUGGUCACAACUGGGCAUCCAGAUGUGAGUAAAGGCGCAAGCCGCUCAAUGAUGGGCUCGCGGCUUAUUAGCUUGUUGGUGGGGUAACGGCCUACCAAGGCGAUGAUGAGUAGCUGGUCUGAGAGGACGGUCAGCCACACUGGGACUGAGACACGGCCCAG
rnacentral:rRNA from 1 species